rnacentral:rRNA from 1 species
AACCUGGUUGAUCCUGCCAGUAGUCAUAUGCUUGUCUCAAAGACUAAGCCAUGCAUGUCUAAGUAUAAAUGGUAUACAGUGAAACUGCGAAUGGCUCAUUAAAACAGUUAUAGUUUAUUUGGUAAUCGAAUUUACAUGGAUAACCGUGGUAAUUCUAGAGCUAAUACAUGCUGUAAGCCCGACUUUUCGGAAGGGCCGUAUUUAUUAGAUAACAGACCAAUGCCCCCCCGGGCUUUGUGGUGACUCAUAGUAACUAAUCGGAUCGCAUGGGCCUGUCCCGCGACAAACCAUUCAAGUUUCUGCCCCAUCAGCUUUCGAUGGUAGUGUAUUGGACUACCAUGGCUUUUACGGGUAACGGAGGAUUAGGGUUCGAUUCCGGAGAGGGAGCCUGAGAAACGGCUACCACAUCUAAGGAAGGCAGCAGGCGCGUAAAUUACCCGAUUCUAAUUCAGAGAGGUAGUGACAAGAAAUAACGGGUCGGGACUAUGUCCCGGGACUGCAAUGAGAUGAAUUUACACCCCUUUUUGAGUAACAAUUGGAGGGCAAGUCUGGUGCCAGCAGCCGCGGUAAUUCCAGCUCCAAUAGCGUAUAUUAAAGUUGUUGCAGUUAAAACGCUCGUAGUCUGAUGUAAUGGGAACGG